GGCUCUUCUGAACACUCGGCUGAGGCCUCCUGCCACCACUGCAGCAGCUGGGCUCCUUGCCCUGGGACCUCUUCCUGUCUGGAUUGUCUUCACUUCCGGCUUCCUCAUCUUCGGGGACUGCCCUCCAUCCUUACUGAUGGACAGUACCCAAUCAUACUUUUUAAUGGGUUUAUAGACUUACUAUUUCAGGCAUUGUUUUUGACUAUUCAACCCUCCUACUCACCAUGCCUGCACUCAUUAUUCAUAAUGACUUUUAAAGAGCUGCUCUGGGUGGGGCCACUCUGCCGCGGCUCUACACUCAGCUGCUGGAUUGCAUGCUUCUGAAUGGUGCUGAGUGGUUCCCCACUCUGGAGUGGGACCCACCAACCCAUUCUCAAUGGCAGGCUCCCAACCAGGCCAAAGGAACCCUUGUGACCAAUGAAGGCGCCUUCUCACCAGCUGCUGGGUACUUGAAACCUGCCACCUCUUAACAUGCCCCAGCCUCACAAGCACUUCCCCAGGCGUGCAGGAGGCCACCAUGUUCUGCCGCUACUGUGAGAGGAAACACUGUUAGUUUUGAUCCCUGUGCCAUAAAGAAUCAAUGCACAGCCAUGGGGCAGAGGGAGUCAUAAGGCAUCCUUUUGUUCAGAAGCAAUUAGUGCAUUCCGGUAGAGCCAGUUCUGGGCAGGGGGCAGAGGGAGUAGCCACAAAAUGGCCUUUGUCCGAACUCCCAUAAAAAAAUUCCAGCCAGUGGGAGUGAACACAGAUGUAGUCCAGAGAGUAGAUUGUAGAUGCCCCGGAUUGUGGCUUCCACAGUGAAAGUAUUCCAGGACUUCAUGGAUCGUGGUCUAUAGAAGGGGGAGGGAAACAGAUACCUUCCCCAAGGAGAGGAGCCCCUUCAUCAUGGUGGGGAUUUGACUUACUGAGGACUUGGUCUCUACAUAAUCCAGAGUUGUUUUCUUUACUAGCAUUCAGGUGCAGCUGGAAAAGGUGCCUUUCUGCCUCCCUUCAUCUCUCCUCCGUGCCUGUUCCUGGUACCUGGUAACUGUGUAUUUGGGUCCUUUGGCCCAUAGCUAAAUAACUGCAAAACCAGUUUAUCAUUUGGGAAUUACAGACAUUAUAAGUAAAACUUACUCUCCAGAUAGGUGCCAUUUCCCCAGUUCUAACCCAGACAAAAUGAAGAACACGCGCUUGGUAUAGAUGGGUGGAGUUCACCUGGCAGCAGUGAAUUCUCCCCCCAUCUGCCUACCUCAUAGGAUGCCAGAUGGUGACAAUCAGGAGUCGAUACCACAUCUGACCUUAUCUAUCCAUGAGCUAUCAGAUGGGCAUUUUUCUGUGCUUUGCUUUCCUCUGCUUUACAAGGGACAUGACGACAAUGCUUCCCUCGUGGGGCUCUGGAAGCAUUAAGUGAUGGAAGAUGUGGUGUGUUCAAAACAAACACUCCCUGGCACUCAGACAGUAAAUGGACCGGCUUCAGUUCCAUCAAGAGCCACAGAGGGUGCCUUCUGGGUGGUAUGACUGAUGCUGCACUCCCUGCCCCACCCAAGGAGUUCAUGUCAAAGUCCCUUCACAGGAAAAUAACGAGGGCCAUCCGGCCACAAGGAGCUAACUUGUUGGAUUAGUGUGUAUGAGACUAAAUUGAACUUCAUCAGUCCCAGCUGUCCAUCGUCAGGGAAAAUCAUCAACCUGUGUUGAACAGUUUCAUCCAGUGAACUGCGUCUUCUGUACGUUUUCCUUGGCGGCCUGCCAGCAGCCACCCCAAACACUUGUCAACUUUUCCUGAGCCAGUGAGAUUGACAUCUUUACAACCACUCUACAAAUACAAAAAUUAACAUUUUGGCUGCUUGUCAUAACUUGUCAAAGUCCACAGGCAGCAAAGAUAGGUUUUGCACCUGCUCUAUGCCUGCUCUCAAAGUACCAUGCUCUCAGGGCAGCACUGCAGUGGCUUGGCUGUGUGUUCACCAUGUGUACUGUGGCUGAGCUAGAGUAGGGCCAGUCCCCAGCUGGGUCUACACUUAGAAUAUUGCCAGCUUUUCCUCCACUGAAACACGCUGGUGUCCCUGUAAACCCGUAGUUUGUUUUCUUAGGCAAAGAUGUUCUAAAAGUUGAAUUGCUGGAUCAGCAAACUAUGUUUCCAGGCAUUUAUUAGCCUCGAGAAACAAAGUACAGUUUGAAACUCCUCUGAUGGUGACGGUGGUUACUUCCCUUUCCUUUGCUGUUAAUUCUUUUAAUCAGCAAAUGUUUUAUUGGGCAUCUGUUUGAUUCAAGAUAUUGGUUAAGUAUAGCACAUUAGUAUUUGCUGAGAUUUGAAUGAUCUUAAUAAGUAGAAAAUAUUUAUUUAUUUACUUAUUUAGUGUUGACAUUCCCUUCGGUGAUACAGACAGUAGUAAGCUGCCUGUACUCCAACAAAUAGCCCUACCCGUGAUAUUUGUAGGCAGAGACUGGUUGGAGAAAAGGGAUUCAGAGAGAGACUGUGGAAGAUAAGAGAGGAUAGUGGGUAUGAAUGUAAUCACAAAAUAUAUGAAAUUAUACAUAAUUAUAUAAACAAAUAAAGUAGAAAUAGAUAUUUAAGAACAUACAAAUGGUUAAAUCUGCUUACAAGAAGUUAAACAUUGCUCAUAAUUAAAUUUAAAUCAGAAUAGCAGCAAGUACUGAAUGAUUAAAUGUAGACACAAUUGCUUCUGACAGCACCAAACUAUUCCUGAGAGUUUGAUGGACACAGAUGACACUCCUUUUGGAGUUCAUUCUCUCCUCGGCUACUGGCCUCUUGGGCAAAGAACUGCCCCCACCUCGACUGCUGACUUUGGACAUGCUGUCCUACUGGGCUAGCAGGAGAGAAACUUAAGAAACUGCUGAACCCUGCCAAGUCAGGGUAAGACAGUCUUUCAACUUCCCUGCUUCCGUGUUGGUCAGUCUGAUACUCUGGGCCUUAGCCAAAGUUGGUAGCCCCAGUGCUGCUCUGAAACUUUGGGUGGCUGUCCAGGUAGCCUGCUGUUUCUGUCUUCACUUGCACCUUUUGGAAGUCGCUGGCUCGCACUUCCUGUCUACCCUAGUAAUGCUAUCUUCCUUCUCAGGUUUUGAUGAGGUUGAAGAUUAGACUGUCACAGCUAUUGCCCCAUUUUCUUAGAUAGAAAUAUUAGGUACAAGACUUAAACUUUCCAGUUUAGAACAGCUUCUUAGUCUCUAUCAUGUCUUUACCCUGGGCCUGGAUAUGUAGUUUAUGCGAAUUGCUCUAUGUUGCUUUACUGGUAGUAGGUCCUAAUUUGUUUUUACCUUUCCUUAUCCUAGAGUAUACUUGAUAUUUGCUAUCACUGUGUAUAGUCUUGUAUCAAGCCUAAACCUUCUUCUUUAGACUAAAAGGGAAAUUGUAGCGAUAUUUUGUCUGAGAACCUGUAACAGUGGCCACACCUUUUGGGCUUGGUUACAUGUAGGCAGGUGACUCAUUAAAGGGGAGGUUGGAGGGGGAGAGCCCCUUGGGUCACAGAAACCACGGGAGAGGCAGUGUCUGCAUUGAAGCCAACAGUCACUCACUGUUACCUGUAUAAGUCCAUCUCCAAUAAAACACCAUUUAUUGUUUAUACUGGGUCUGGUAAAUUCAUAAUUUCCACGCCUUCAAUUAAAGAGUAAACAUAAUGAGAAAUAAAACAAUGAUAUUUUAAACAAAA